UAGGGAAUCUUCCGCAAUGGACGCAAGUCUGACGGAGCAACGCCGCGUGAGUGAAGAAGGAUUUCGGUUCGUAAAACUCUGUUGUUAGAGAAGAACAGCGCAUAGAGUAACUGUUAUGCGUGUGACGGUAUCUAACCAGAAAGCCACGGCUAACUACGUGCCAGCAGCCGCGGUAAUACGUAGGUGGCAAGCGUUGUCCGGAUUUAUUGGGCGUAAAGCGAGCGCAGGCGGUCAAUUAAGUCUGAUGUGAAAGCCCCCGGCUCAACCGGGGAGGAUCAUUGGCAACUGGUUGACUUGAGUGCAGAAGGGGAGAGUGGUAUUCCAGGUGUAGCGGUGAAAUGCGUAGAUAUAUGGAGGAACGCCAGUGGCGAAGGCGACUCUCUGGUCUGUAACUGACGCUGAGGCUCGAAAGCGUGGGUAGCAAACAGG
rnacentral:rRNA from 1 species